GACGAACGCUGGCGGCAGGCCUAACACAUGCAAGUCGAGCGAGCGGCGGACGGGUGAGUAUUGUAUGGGGACUGCCCGAUGGAGGGGGAUAACUACUGGAAACGGUGGCUAAUACCGAAAACGGUCGGAUACCCCAUAUGGGAUUAGCUAGUAGGUAAGGUAAUGGCUUACCUAGGCGACGAUCCCUAGCUGGUCUGAGAGGAUGAUCAGCCACACUGGGACUGAGACACGGCCCAGACUCCUACGGAGGCAGCAGUGGGGAAUAUUGCACAAUGGGCGCAAGCCUGAUGCAGCCAUGCCGCGUGUAUGAAGAAGGCCCUAGGGUUGUAAAGUACUUUCAGUCGGGAGGCGUUACCGACAGAAGAAGCACCGGCUAACUCCGUGCCAGCCGCCGCGGUAAUAC
rnacentral:rRNA from 1 species